rnacentral:tRNA from 1 species
GCCGACAUAGCUCAGCCGGUAGAGCACUUCCAUGGUAAGGAAGGGGUCCGCGGUUCGAACCCGCGUGUCGGCU